rnacentral:rRNA from 1 species
GAUCGCCUGCUCGAGAGGUAGAUCGAGAUGGUUAUGCCGGGGCGGCGGAGCGACUCGUCUGAGGCUCGCCUCCGCUUCCGCUUCCGUCUGCUUUGGUAGUGGUUACCUAGACGUCUAGCACCCUGCCGUGCGCAACGAGAAACUGCUGCUGCGCCGCCGCCUCCAGCAUUUGAGGCCGCCGAGGGAGCAGGGGACCAGGCGGCGGCCGCGCCGGCUAGAGGAGGAACUGGCGGUGCUGCAGGCGGUGGAAGAGCUGGCGCAGGGAGGAGCAAGUUUGGCGCGGAUGAGGCACCGGGAGGAGAGGUGGGGGAGAGGGCUGCCGCACAGGCUCCGGCUCGAACUGGCGCUCGCGAAGGAGCUGGAGUGGCGGCUGCAGCCGUGGCCUCUGCGCAGAGGAAGUCCUUUGCCCUGUCUAUGACCCGUCCGGCCAAUAUUACGGCAGCGAAAGAGUAUGCCCCCUGGACGACCAAGACUACUAGGCUUACUAAGUCAGAGAAGAAUAGCGGGUAGAAAAGGACACGGUCUUUCGGACAACUUAUUCGACUACCAACCUCGUCUCUACUUCAAGGAUGAUCACUAGGUGUAACAAAGGAAUGCUAGAUAGAACUGCAUUCCUUAUCCGUCGGAGGGAGGCUCUUCCACGUAGUCUAUUAACGUUCUUGACGAGAUAAACAGUCACUCGUACCCCCUGUUAGUCUCUAACACAAUUCCCACUUCGUCCCUUUAUUAGGUUGUAAACCCAAGAACUACGGACUGGUAGUAGAGGUGUCGAUGAAGGCGAUGUAACAACUAGUAGGAGUCGACAACUUUCUACCGAGACUACGACUGUGGUUAUUUCCGUUGUUUUAACAAUACCCACUCUCACUCUAACGACGGAGCAGUUCGCCUCGAAAUAGUAACGAACCCCGGCAGAUACUCAGACCUCUACUCCUACUUCCGCACGAAGGUCGAUCAAGUUUUCCGUUCCUAGGACCUUUACUUCGAAACGUACUGUUACGGGUGUUUCCGAGUAGUAAGGAACAUGUACUGUUGCUUCACUUUUUUCUAGUCUGUCAUUGUUAUCUUCGUAGGUGAAAUCAUUUCCUAUUUGGAUAAAAGUGGUUCUUCUUGGGUUGUUAACGACCUUUGUCGUAACAACGACGAGUCGCCCUCUUCCAAUUUCUACGGUGCUGUCACAAUUGGUGAAGAUGGUUCAGACUGUUGAGAUUUAAUCCACACAGACUGUGUUUUCUUUACUAUGACCUUGGUGGUAGGAAAAACUUCCCGUGUUACCUCUUUUAUCAGCUCAAAUAAGAGUCCUUGCCCUUCCUCAAACUUGUUUUCGAGUAACUCGUUCUGUCCUACUGUCCCUCCAAAGGUAAAGAAGACGGCAGAUUAGGUAUAGUGAGAAUGAUAGAGUUCUACGAAGUCCUUUGGGUUCUCAGGUUCAGGGCACCACCACGAAGUCUCGUGUCUCUGUCUUCCUCGAGAAGUCUCGCGGUUCUGUCCUCCUCAAGAAGUCUCGCGUCUCUGUCCUCCUCAAGUCUUGCAUUUCUGUCUUCCAGGUACCUCGCGUUUCUAUCUUCAAGAAGUCUGGAGGCUCUGUCACCGGUGCUGUUCCUUCAUUGAUUUUCGUUCCCUGCCCCUUCACGAUUGUUCCUGAGUUCGUGAAGACUAUCUUGGAGGCGCCUUGGUAGUGUCUUCGUCGAAAGACUGUUUGUUCCCCUCCCCUUCAAGGUCAACCAGUGACCACCACGGUUCUUCCUUGAAGGAGCCUGCCAGUGACGUCUACUUCGACGACGAUAACAAUACCGCCGAUGAGCACCUGACCCCGGACGGUUAGGAGUUGGAUUGUGCGAUUUUCUGUGCCAACUGUAAGCGGUAUAUGUCCCGAGUCCACGUCACAGGUUUGGACGAAGUUUAUCACUCGGACCGUAUAGUCAGUGUUCAUCACUAGUCGAUUUCUUCCUUCCAUAACCUUAAUAGCUACUACUAACCUAGUGUUUAUGUUAGCGUUUUCGUCAACGACAACGGCGGAGAUUUCUCCGUCUAAGAAGACUUCGAAGGUACUGUUUACUCGUCUUCGACUUCCGACUCUCCGAAGCCGCACGUUUCUACAAGUGAAGUUAAUAAUUCCCACCACCGUUGUUCUUACUAGACCACUGUGUCCUCUAUUCAUUACUUAGACGUUCCCGGCGAGGACGAUUAAGCUUGGAGGGGCACGGAGGUCUUGGAAACCGAUCACUUGCCCUUCCAUCGAGACACGUAAAACUUGCCCUUCCAUCGAGAGACGCAAAACUUGCCCUUCCAUCGAGACACGCAAAGCUUGCCCUUCCAAGCUUAUACUAGUUCGUCCUCUUUCUGAGACUACUGCUCGUCUUGUCCCGUGCGUUCAUGUCUUUCGUAGUAGGUCUUAGGCUACUCCUGUUUGUACUAAACCUCCUCCCUUCAAUAUUUGUGAGUUCCUUCUCCGUAGCAAGCCUCGCAAGUUCUCCGGUGUCAUUCCUACGUGUGUUUGCAUUCGUGUUCGUAGUGAGGUUCCUUUCCCUCAUAUCCCUAGUAUCGAGAAGCCUUCUACUCGAUGCGUCAAGGUUCAGUUCCGUAGCUGUAUCCCUGCUAGUAGUGAUGCGACUUCUACUGCUCGUAUCCUCCGUGGCCUCCUCGGUAGCGAGACCAAGGUUUUCCUUUGUGUUCCUACUGCCUCUAGAGUUACUCGUUUGAGAACCGGCGCGACUUCGGAGGGUUUCGUGCGGACUCGUGUCCGUACCUAGUCUCGUCGGGGGAUCGCUGUGACGAGUUAGAAGCGUCCGCCGUUGAGUCCAGGGUCUACUCGACUUCCGCUUUUAAUCCCGCUACGAUAAUCUCUGUGACAUUAUGUAACACGCUACACUACAUUGUGACAUGAUAGUACAAGAAAAUGUAAGCCGCGGAAUAAACAAUGUCAGGUCAAGGAAAUAAAACAAGUUCGUAAACAGAACAAUUUU